rnacentral:rRNA from 1 species
CCCUUAGAUGUUCUGGGCUGCACACGUGCUACACUGGCAGGUUCAGCGAGCUUCAUGCCCUGAUCUGAAAGGAAUGGGAAAUCUUUUCAAAACCUGCCGUGCUUGGGAUAGAUGUUUGCGAUUAUUCAUCUUCAACGAGGAUUGCCUUGUAAGCGCACGUCAUCAGCGUGCAUUGAAUACGACCCUGUAUUCUGUACACACCGCCCGUCGCUCCUACCGAUUGAAGUUUUCGGUGAGUUGACAGGAGGAUUUUUUUGAAACUGGUUCGCCAGUGGAUUUUAGAUCCAAAUGCCAACGAAUCGAUGGCUUUAGAGGAAGGAGAAGUCGUAACA